CAAAGAGUAUGCACAUUUUCCAUUUUGGUGCCGGAGGUUGGGGGCAGUAGUUCUCUGCUUCAACAGAACAAUGCCUCAUUGUAAUUAACGUCCUUCCUGACCCAGUGGCCCCUGUGGAGUUAGCGAGGAUCCUUUCAUACGUUUCUUUCCAGCAUAAACUAUAAACAAGCAUGAGUGGAUUCUGUUAAUUGCAACAAAUACAGUCAUGUGUCACUGAGUGACGGGGAUGCAUUCUGAGAAAUGCACUGUUGGGUGAUUUUGUUGGUGGAACCCAGGAGGCGGAGGUUGCAGUGACCUGAGAUUGCACCAUUGCACUCCAGCCUGGGUGACA
rnacentral:lncRNA from 1 species